rnacentral:rRNA from 1 species
GCAGUCGAGCGACUGAUUAGAAGCUUGCUUCUAUGACGUUAGCGGCGGACGGGUGAGUAACACGUGGGCAACCUGCCUGUAAGACUGGGAUAACUUCGGGAAACCGAAGCUAAUACCGGAUAGGAUCUUCUCCUUCAUGGGAGAUGAUUGAAAGAUGGUUUCGGCUAUCACUUACAGAUGGGCCCGCGGUGCAUUAGCUAGUUGGUGAGGUAACGGCUCACCAAGGCAACGAUGCAUAGCCGACCUGAGAGGGUGAUCGGCCACACUGGGACUGAGACACGGCCCAGACUCCUACGGGAGGCAGCAGUAGGGAAUCUUCCGCAAUGGACGAAAGUCUGACGGAGCAACGCCGCGUGAGUGAUGAAGGCUUUCGGGUCGUAAAACUCUGUUGUUAGGGAAGAACAAGUACGAGAGUAACUGCUCGUACCUUGACGGUACCUAACCAGAAAGCCACGGCUAACUACGUGCCAGCAGCCGCGGUAAUACGUAGGUGGCAAGCGUUAUCCGGAAUUAUUGGGCGUAAAGCGCGCGCAGGCGGUUUCUUAAGUCUGAUGUGAAAGCCCACGGCUCAACCGUGGAGGGUCAUUGGAAACUGGGGAACUUGAGUGCAGAAGAGAAAAGCGGAAUUCCACGUGUAGCGGUGAAAUGCGUAUAGAUGUGGAGGAACACCAGUGGCGAAAGCGGCUUUUUGGUCUGUAACUGACGCUGAGCGCGAAAGCGUGGGGGAGCAAACACGAUUAUAUACCCUGGGUAGUCCACGCCGUAACGAUGAGUGCUGACUGUU